rnacentral:rRNA from 1 species
CAGCAGCCGCGGGAAUACAGAGGGUGCGAGCGUUAAUCGGAUUUACUGGGCGUAAGCGUGCGUAGGCGGCUUCUUAAGUCGGAUGUGAAAUCCCUGAGCUUAACUUAGGAAUUGCAUUCGAUACUGGGAAGCUAGAGUAUGGGAGAGGAUGGUAGAAUUCCAGGUGUAGCGGUGAAAUGCGUAGAGAUCUGGAGGAAUACCGAUGGCGAAGGCAGCCAUCUGGCCUAAUACUGACGCUGAGGUACGAAAGCAUGGGGAGCAAACAGGAUUAGAUACCCCCGUAGUCCCUGUCUCUUAUACA